AAAGAAAUAUCAUAAUAAAGCUUCUAACUUUAAAUAAAGCGUUUAUCGUUUAU
rnacentral:tRNA from 1 species